rnacentral:rRNA from 1 species
UACAGAGGUCUCAAGCGUUGUUCGGAUUCAUUGGGCGUAAAGGGUGCGUAGGCGGCGCCGUAAGUCGGGUGUGAAAUCUCGGAGCUUAACUCCGAAACUGCAUUCGAUACUGCGGUGCUUGAGGACUGGAGAGGAGACUGGAAUUCAUGGUGUAGCAGUGAAAUGCGUAGAGAUCAUGAGGAAGACCAGUGGCGAAGGCGGGUCUCUGGACAGUUCCUGACACUGAGGCACGAAGGCCAGGGGAGCAAACGGG